GCCUGGGUGGCUCAGUCGGUUAAGUGUCUGACUUCAGCUCAGGUCAUGAUCUCACGGUUUGUGGGUUUGAGCCCCACAUCAGGCU
rnacentral:tRNA from 1 species